AGUUUAUGCAAAUCUGACAUUUCCAGUUUCUUCUUAUAUGAAUCAAAGUUCAGUGAUUCAAUCUGACAAAGAAGCUGCAGACAGAACAAAGACAAAUGACUCCAACAAUGAUCAGACCUGUUUGUUUGCUGCUUUUUCUCUUUUUCUUUGGUGUCUUACCUGGUAUCAGGGGUCAAACACUGACUGAGUCUGAAUCAGUGGUUAAAAGACCUGGAGAACCCCACAAACUGAUCUGUACAUAUUCAGGGUUUAGUAGUGAUCAGUCUAUAGCUUGGAUCAGACAGGCUGCUGGAAAAGGACUGGAAUGGAUCGCUUAUAUCAGUUAUCACAGCAGUAACAUCUACUACUCAGAGUCAGUGAAAAACCGCUUCACCAUCUCCAGAGACAACAGCAGAAAGCAGGUGUAUCUGCAGAUGAACAGUCUGAGAGCUGAGGAUUCUGCUGUUUAUUACUGCGCUCGAUUGACACAGUGACUCAAGAGACACAAACUCUGUACAAAAACACACAUGAAGAAAAUAGUUGUCCUUAGUUUUUAAAAUGUAUUUUUCAACAAAUCCCGAAUACAGAAAAGAAUAAAUUUACAUCUACAUAAUAGUUUUGUUUUUUUUAUUUUAGCAACAGCAAGGUAACUUUGUUGAACAUUUUCUUUGCUGUCUAUAUUAUAAAGUUUGAAUAAAACUGACAAAUGAAAAAUGCUUUCAUUUUUAAAACAGUUUUUCUAAAUAAACUCUUGUCAUGGUGUGAUCUCACACAAAAUAUUUCUGUAUUCAGAUAAGAGAAAGAGACAGUUUUUUGUAUUUAUUUUUUUCUGAAAUGUAUUAUAAUGAACUGUAUUUUUAGCAGCUUAUUGAAACAAAAAUAAAAGUUUUUCAACACUUGAAACAAAGUUCAGUCUCUGUUCAUUUCAAGGUUCUAAAUAUCUUGAAAAAUCCCCCAGACCAGAUCUAGAAAAAUGUCUCAUGUGGAGACAGCAGAGACAUCAUCCAGAUGACUGAGGGUGAAGA